AGUCAACAUGCCCAGGGGACGUGGAUAACCUCGGGAAACUGAGGAUAAACCGCGAUAGGUCAUCACUUCUGGAAUGGGUAAUGACUUAAACCUAUAUGGCCCCUGGAUUGGACUGCGGCCGAUCAGGCUGUUGGUGAGGUAAUGGCCCACCAAACCUGUAACCGGUACGGGCUCUGAGAGGAGGAGCCCGGAGAUGGGCACUGAGACAAGGGCCCAGGCCCUAUGGGGCGCAGCAGGCGCGAAACCUCUGCAAUAGGCGAAAGCUUGACAGGGUUACUCUGAGUGAUUUCCGUUAAGGAGAUCUUUUGGCACCUCUAAAAAUGGUGCAGAAUAAGGGGUGGGCAAGUCUGGUGUCAGCCGCCGCGGUAAUACCAGCACCCCGAGUGGUCGGGACGUUUUAUUGGGCCUAAAGCAUCCGUAGCCGGUUCUACAAGUCUUCCGUUAAAUCCACCUGCUUAACAGAUGGGCUGCGGAAGAUACUAUAGAGCUAGGAGGCGGGAGAGGCAAGCGGUACUCGAUGGGUAGGGGUAAAAUCCGUUGAUCCAUUGAAGACCACCAGUGGCGAAGGCGGCUUGCCAGAACGCGCUCGACGGUGAGGGAUGAAAGCUGGGGGAGCAAACCGGAUUAGAUACCCGGGUAGUCCCAGCUGUAAACGAUGCAGACUCGGUGAUGAAUUGGCUUAUUGCUAAUUCAGUGCCGCAGGGAAGCCCGUUAAGUUUGCCGCCUGGGGAGUACGGUCGCAAGACUGAAACU
rnacentral:rRNA from 1 species